AACUGCAAAUAUCUCGGUAUUGACUCGUCCAGAGGCCGUUUCAUAAAAUGUCCGGCUGUAUUGUCUACACCCUUUAAUGGGGAUUUCGUUAAGUAAUCACUAUUGGUUAUUAACUCAAGAACAGUUCAACUUUUGGGUGUUCCUUAAAUCUCUUAAAUCUCUACCCCAUUCCAGAAAAACGCUCGUCAAAUUGAUGGAUUUUUUCCGACUAAUCCAAAAGGUCGCACGGUCAUUUUUCGGAGCCGGUGCAGAAUCUAAGAAUAGCUGGAUUUUUAUUUAAUCCGAGCCUUCCGGUAUGCGGCGGUCUAACCGACCAAAAAAGAAAAAAACUCGAGUUUGAUUCAUAAUUGAAAUCUCGAAACGAAGGAAUUCCCCUCGGGCGCAGCACGAUCUCACUCCUUAGUGUGGGAAUGUACUCGAAGUCUCGAACAGUAAACGGGCCUGAAGGAGCAGCCACGUUAUCGUAUUUCAUAAGCGAUGGUACCAAUGGCGUAGGAGGAAAAUGCAUAGAAAAAACCACUUCUUUCAGGCACUCAACAAGUGUUUGAUGACUGUGGAAUUUAUCGGCAAAUUAUGCGGUUUUCAAUACUUCUUCUAGUAGCUUAGCAAUUUUUCACUUAAACUUGCCACUUUUUUCUAUUACUGUCCCAAAUUAUUAUCACUUUUUUCAUUCGUAAUAAUGUAAAGUCGUAUUUGCAACGCAAACAAGGCGAUUGUUUUAGUCAGACAAGUGCAAAUAUGCCAGCGUAGUGGAAACAAUUGUUAAUUUUGUUAGUAAGUUGUUAUUAGAUUUUUCUCCUGCUUGAAUUUGAAGUUAUUUCAAAAACAAUUGGCUGAAAGUUUGGGUUUAAAUCUCCCGCGAGUCUAGGUUUAAAUCGUGCUCAAAUUCAGGUUUUAAUCGCACAGAAGUUCGUGUUUAUUAUAUCCUGAUAGUUAAAAUAAUGUAAAGUCGCAGUUUCAAUGCAAGCACGUCGAUUGUUUUAGACAAAGUGUAAAUAUUUAUAUAUUUAUAUUAUUUUCAAGGUUCCACUUCGCAACUCGUACACGAGUUCGGAAUUAAACGGUCCACGAGUUCAGGUUUAAAUUGUGCGCGAGUUCAGGUUUAAAUCAUCUGCCAAGUUAGCGUCUCCCGAUUCCUCAUUUAUUAUAGUAGGUUGUAUGUAGAGAAUUUGAAUGAGAAGAAUUUAAACCGAGCUUGAACUCGGAUUUAAGUCACGAACGAAUCCAGGUUCUAAUCGUAUGUUGGAAUGGCUUUAAGACGCGUGCAAAAUUGAGUUUAAAUUGCGCACGAGUUCGGGUUUAAAUUGCGCGUAAGUACGAGUUUUAAUCGUACGCGAAUCCAAGUAUAAAUCACGCGUGCAUUUAGAUUUGCUCGUCAAUUGGGGUUCAAAACACCCGCAAUUUCAAGAUUAAAUCGCGUGCGAGUUUUGUUUUAAAUCUCGUGCAAAUUCAGAUUUAAAUCGUGCUCGAGCUUGGAUUUAAAUCGCGCGCGAGUUCAGUUUGUAAUCGUGUGCCAGCUUUAAAAUGCGUGCAAACUUAAGUCUAAAUCGAUAACCAGUUCGGUUUUAGACUAUUCUCGAGUUGGGAUUUAAGUCUACUACGCGUUCGGGUUGAAAUUCAGAUUGGGAUGCGUUUAGAUUUAAAUCGGUCGCAAAUUUGGGUUGAAACCGCGCGCAAUUUCGAGUUUAAAUCGUGCGCAAGUUCAGUUUUAAAUGGAGCUCAAAAUUGGAUUUAAACUGGGCCCUACUUCGGGUUGUAACCGAGCGCGAGUUCUGUUUUAAAACACGCGUAAAUUCGGAUUUAAAUCGUGCUUGAGAUCGGAUUUAAACCGCGCGCGAGAUCGUGUGCUAGAUUGGUUUUAAGAUGCUCACAUGGUUGAGUUUAAACUAUUCUAGAUUUCGAGUUUAAAACGCUAACGAGUUUGGGUUUAAGUUGCGCGCGAGUACGGGUUUUACUCGCAUGCAAUACCAGGUACAAAUCACGCGUGCAUUUAGAUUUAAAUUGUUCGCAAAUUAGGGUUCAAAACACCCGCAAUUUCAAGUAUAAAUCGCGACUAAAUUCAGAUUUAAAUCGUGCUCGAGAUCGAAUUUAAAUUGCACGCGAAUCGAGGUUCUAUCUCUGUGCCAGCUUUAAAAUGCGUGCAAACUUAAGUCUAAAUCGGUAACGAGUUAGGUUUUAGACCAUUCUCGAGUUCGGGAUCAAGUCUAGCACGCGUUCGGGUUUCAAUUCGGAUUCCAAUGAGUUUAGAUUUAAAUCGGUCGCAAAUUUGGGUUGAAACCUCGCGCAAUUUCGCGUUUACAUCGUGCGCAAGUUCAGGUUGUAAUUGGAGCUCAAAAUUAGAUUUAACUGGGCCCAACUUCGGGUUGUAACCAAGCGCGAGUUCUGUUUUGAAACGCGCGCAAAUUCGGAUUUAAGUCGUGCUUGAUAUCGGAUCGGAUCGAGUCCAGAUGCUAAUCGUGUGGUAGAUUGGUUUUAAGACGCUCGCAUGGUUGAGUUUAAAUCGCUUGCGAGUUCGGGUUUAAACUACUCUUGGGUUCGAGUUUAAAUCGCGCGCCAGUACGGGUUUUAGUCGUACGCUAUACCAGGUGUAAAAGACGCCUGCAUUUAGAUAUAAAUUGCUCGGUUCGGUGUUAAAUCAUGCACAAGUUUGGGUUUAAAUUCGGGUUCGGGUGCGUUUUAACUGCGCGAGUUCUGUUUUAAAAUGAUCGCAAAUUCUGAUUUACAUUUUCAUAUUCUAAUCGCAAGUAGCUAAAGUAAUCGAAAGCAAGAUUGGGUUUAAAUCGCUUGCUAGUUCGGAUUUAAACUACUCUUAAGUUCGAGUUUAAAUUGGGCGAUUCUUGGUAUCUGUCUCGAUUGAGGUUGGGCUCAAAACGUGUGCAUUUUUCAGUUUAAAUCGCACCGGAGUUCUGUUUUAAAACGCAGGCAAAUUUGGGUUUAAAUUGUGCUCGAGCUCGGAUUUAAACCGCGCCGGUGCAGAUUCUAAUCGUGUGCUUGAUAAGUUUUAAGACGCUCGCAAGGUUGAGUUUAAAUUACUCUUGCGUUCCAGUUUAAAUCGCGCAAGUGUUCGGCUUUAAAUUGAGCGCAAGUAGGGGUUUUAAUUGAGCACAAGAAGGGGUUUUAGUCGCAUGCAAUACUAGGUUUAAAUUACGCGUGCAUUUAGAUUUAAAUUGCUUGAAAAACACCCGCAAUUCCAAGUUUAAAUUGCGUGCAAAUUCAGAUUUAAAUCGUGCUCGAGCUCGGAUUUAAAUCUCAGUCGAGUCCAUGUUCUAAUCGUGUGCUUUGGUUUUAAGAUACGCGCAAGAUUGAGUUUAAAUCGGCUUGCGAGUUCGGUUUCAGACUGCUGGGUUUGUAGUAGGUAAGUAUGGGUUUAAUUCGCCGGCAAUUAUUGGUAUCAAUCACGGUUGCGCUUAGAUUGAAAUCGCUCACAAAUUUUGGCUGAAAAGUUUAAGUUGCUCCCGAGUUCCGUUUUAAAACGCACACCAGUUUGGAUUUAAAUCGUGCUUGAAUUCGGAUUUCAAUCGCGCGCGAGUCCAGGUUCUAAUCGGGGGCUAGAUUGGGUUGAAAACGCGCAGAAAGUUGAGUUUAAAUCGCCAUCGACUUAGCGUUUAAAUCGCGCACUAGUUGGAGUUAAAAUUGCGCUCAAGCACGGGCUUAAAUCGCACAGGAUUCUAGGUAUAUAUCAAGCGUGCAUUUGGAUUAAAUUCGCACAGAAGUUUGGGUUUUAUUCGCGGGUGAGUUCAGUUCGCAAAUUGCAAAUCGAGCGCGAGUUUGGGUUUAAAUCGUUCUCGAGUUCGCGUUUAAAUCGGGCACGAUUACGGGUUUAAAUCACUGUUGAUUAAAUGUUUAAAUCCACAGUUUUUGACAAGAAUUUUGAAAUUAUAAAAGAAAAACUGAUUUUUGCACAUCAAAAUGAAAACACUCUGUCAGGGCCCUAUUGUGAUUGUCACACCUUGUGUAUAAAAAAAAUAUCAGUUAUUACAAAGCACGAUUAUUUCAAUACAAUCUCUCCGGAAAGGAUCUUUAAUCCUUGAAUAAUGCACAUUCCGAUUCGGAAGUGUUUCUAAUCGUUAUCUGCACCCAAGUGGUAGUUCAAAACUUGCCGGUGUUACAAUGGAAGUUGCGAAAACAUUCCGUGCACAUGUCUUUACAUUAUCGACUUGGGUGUUAUCCAGAUGUCGCUUUUAAACUCGCACUUCCGGGAUAUCGGUAGGAGGUCUGAAGUAGAUGGAAUCAUCUGCUGGACGAUGGAAGGUAGUAGUCAGUCACUCACUUGGUAGAAUAUAUCUCUGACUUUGAGAGUGAUAUUGAGCCGCCCGAUUAUCUUAAGCCCCACUUUAGUGUUAUUCGUAAUCCAUCUUCAACAAGAAGCUUGGAACUGGGCAAAGUUUACAUAUUUGAGGGCGUUUUCUAAUUUUUUGCAUUAUCCACAGGGCGGUUACAACUUGCUUUACUUCGAGAGCUUGGGAACUAUAUGGUAUUGAAGAUGGAAUGUUCAGUUUAAUUUUUUUUCACUGUUCAAAUAUAAGGGUUUCAGAACAUGUGUGGUUAGUUUCCAAAUUGUGCUCCUCAAAACUUCAUUGGAGAUACUUUAGAUAUGCACACUGCAAACAGAAUGGUUGAAGACAAACAGCCAAAAUGUUGGGGAAAACACUAGAGGGAAGAAAAUGAAGAAGAAGUUGCAAUUUGUUUAUUGAGAAUUGCGAUACAAAUCAUUGAUAAAAUUAACAAACAAGUGAUCUAGUGAUAAAUCGAGUAGAUGCCACAUUUUUCGGUCACCUGACUGCAAAAAGAAGCUUUUUUCGGGUACAGCUGGAAAUGGGCCGUUAAGCGGCUAUAUCGAUCUAACAUCGAUGUUUUAUUUGCUUGGUGCAAAAUAUUUGCUUCAUAUGGCGUGGUUGCCAGCUUAUUUGUUUGUUCCCGGUGACUUGAAAGGCGAAUAUUAAACAUUCGUCAUUAGUAUUGCUUGAUGCGCAGUCGACAACAUGGCUUGUAAAUAAUUUAAAGCUGCAAAAGUGAUGUUAAUUUUGCAGAAUGUAACAAAUUUUGAAAAUAAAUCAGUUUCUACAGUUUCGUUAUUAAUUCGCGGUGGUCGUUCUUUAAGUCUGCGUUUUUCUUGUUUUCCUUUAUAGAACACUUCAAAUAAAGCAGUUUCAGCAAAAACAAAACCUGGAUCCUCCAUAAAUUAAACCACAAACACUCACAAAAGUUUAAGGAAAAUCACCAUUUUUAGGCUAAAUUUCGAGCGGCGUUGCCAAACCGCGCAAAACGUUUUAAGUUCAUGAAAAGUCUUUGGAUAACUAGAGUGUCGAUACAUUCAAUUUUGGUAGGUUUGAAAUGAGAUGGGAGAAAAACAUCGAUGUUUCGCAAAUAUCGAUGUAAUUCGUUCGAUGUUCGAUAGUUUUACCAUCCAUGUUGGAAAUUUGGGACUUCGAUGAAACAUCGAUGUUAGAUCCUGAAAUGAAAACAUCGGACAUU